CACGUCAUCUCUGUGACACUGAUGAUUAACUGCUAAAACCUUACAGUGAAGUGUGGUCUAAUCAAUAAGUAAGGAGGGGCUAUGGGCCGCACGACCCAUACCAGGUGUGAAACCUGAGACUUUUCUCAGGUUGGAAAAGUCAAAAAGGGGAGGAAUAAAGAAAAAAAAAUUAAUUUAAUUAUAUAUUCAGUUUUUUUUUCUUUUCUUUUUCUUUCUCUCUCCCUGACACUCUCCUCUUCUUCUUCUUCUUCUUCUUCUCUCGGCAUUCCAUGGCAAGGCACCAGACCCAACCACCACCGGCCACCAUUUUUUACGCGCGGCAGCUCAGCGGUUUCGCCUUGCUCCGGCGACCUCAACUGCCAAGCGACACCGCCCAACUCGCCGUCAAACGUUCGGAAUCGCCAGUCAAAGUUUUGGUCCGUCAACUUUGACUGUGUUUUUCGGCCAACUCCGACCACCUCUUGACGAGUGGUUGAUACCCUUGGAACCAGCGUGGAGAGAGGAACAAAACCCACUAAUUCAUUCCGGUCAACUCGCCGUUUUUCUCCAGCAAGAUUUUGGGUAUCUCUGCCCUUUGGAAGCGUUUUCCGGCGACACCGGAGGUCAUUUGGGCGAAGGAGCUGUACUUUCGUGAUGUACUCAUCGAGAGGAUCGUUUUGAUAAUGCUAUGCAUAUAUUCGUCGACGUUUCCGGUACCGCCACCAACCACUAUAGUGCACCGCUUGGGAAAAGCGUGAUAUUAAAAUCGGACUAAAUCAUUCUAAGAUCAUCGAUAAGCUUAGGAGCGUUGCUUUGGGCUCGAAUUAAAUUCUAAGGAGGUAUCUAAAGAGGAGCCUAGUGACGCGAACGUGGAAAAGUAUGAAUUGUUGCUGAAGCCAAGGUGUUUAGUGCCAUAGUCCUAUCUUUUGAACAUUGGAUGUAUUUAAUUUGGAAACUAUCGAUCUGUACAUCUAAAUUAGCUAUGUCCUAGUUAGAAAUGAGGAAUGGUGGAUGCUAAGUAUUAUUUUGGGUAUUUUAUGACUUAUUAAAUUUAACUGUUUGGUGACUACAUAA